UACGUAGGGUGCAAGCGUUAAUCGGAAUACUGGGCGUAAAGCGUGCGCAGGCGGUUAUGUAAGACAGAUGUGAAAUGCCCGGGCUUAACCUGGGAACUGCAUUUGUGACUGCAUGGCUAGAGUUUGGCAGAGGGGGGUAGAAUUCCACGUGUAGCAGUGAAAUGCGUAGAGAUGUGGAGGAACACCGAUGGCGAAGGCAGCCCCCUGGGUUAACACUGACGCUCAGGCACGAA
rnacentral:rRNA from 1 species